GAUGUGGUACUGAUCAUUUGAUCAUAUUUACGCGGUGGUUAGAGAACAUGUGCUCCUUUUUUGUGUGAAUUAACGAUCACUAAGCCCUGGGUCCUGUGCAAUGCUAUUAGCUCGCUGUAUGUUUCUUGCAGUGCGCCGUUGUUGAUUAUCGUAGUGCGGUCCACACGCGCUUUCUUUGUGCCCGGCUCAUGAGAAGCUGUUGUACUCUCGCCGCUCCCGCAUCGGGUCACAGUGCACGGAAGAAUGUGUUGAUAGUUGUGCUAUCGCGUGCUGUAGUUCACCGCAAUUCAACACUACGCUGGACGGACUGUUGGUGCAGUCGAUGUGGCGUGAACGGACACGAAGGAGCGCUCGCCUCAGAAGGGAUGUCACAAUUUCCAGAGACGGAGGCAUCUCUGCACCACAAAGGAGACUGCGGCACUAUGCAGCCUGAACAGCACGACAAAGCAUCUGAUCUGCCUGCUUUGACAAGAUGUGGCUGGGCCUGCAGAAAGAGUGUAAGCAGACUACUGUGUUGCUGAUCAGUGCUGGUGCUGAUCUCUACGUCUGAGUUUGCCUCACAACGUCCAGGCACCACUGUGCUUUGCUUCAUUGACAAGGUGUGGCUGGGCCUGCAGAAAAGCUGUAAGCAGACUGCAGUGUUGCUGAUCAGUGCUGAUCUCCACGUCCGAGUUGGUCCCACAACAUCCAGGCACCACGGUGCUUUCAGAAGAGGCAUACGAGCACUUUGUGUCAAAAACGCCGAGCACUGUGGAUACAGAGGCAAGGAGGCUGAAGGACCUGAAGAAGCACCUGGCCACCAUGCUU
rnacentral:lncRNA from 1 species